AGAUGGCGACCGGCGCACGGGUGAGUAACACGUAUCCAACCUGCCGAUAACUCGGGGAUAGCCUUUCGAAAGAAAGAUUAAUACCCGAUGGCAUAGUUCUUCCGCAUGGUAGACUAUUAAAGAAUUUCGGUCAUCGAUGGGGAUGCGUUCCAUUAGGUUGUUGGCGGGGUAACGGCCCACCAAGCCUUCGAUGGAUAGGGGUUCUGAGAGGAAGGUCCCCCACAUUGGAACUGAGACACGGUCCAAACUCCUACGGGAGGCAGCAUG
rnacentral:rRNA from 1 species